UUUUUGGAUGAACUUUUAUUCUUUGAUGAACCACUUAUAGAUUUAUCGAGGAUUUUGCUUUUACCUUUGUGUUUACCUCCAUCCUUGGGUGAAUUUACACCGCUAGAAGAAUUUUCAUAGCCAGGUGAAUUACUACCGCUUGGUGAACUUUUACCAUCGGUCUCUUAUCUUUCAUUUUAUUUUUAAUCUUAGAUUUAAGUUUAUUUAAGAUAGUGCUUUUACCCUUAGGUUUAACUCUAUCUUUGGGUGAAUUUUCACCGCUAGAUGAAUUUUCAUGGCCAGGUGAACUUCCCCCGCUAGACCAGGUGAAUUUCCACUGCUUGGUGAACUUUCACCACCAGAUGAACCACUCUUAUCUUUUAGUUUACUUUUAAUUUUGGAUUUUACUUUAUCAAGAAUAGUGCUUUUACUCUUAUGUUUACUUUCAUUUUUGGAUGUACUUCCACCGUCAGGUGAACUUCCACUGCUAGCUGAACUUUCACCGCUUGGUGAACUUUCACCAUCAGAUGAACCGUUUUUACCUUUCAAUUUACUUUUAAUCUUUGACUUAACUUUAUCUAAGAUAGUGCUUUUACCCUUAGGUUUACCUCCAUUCUUGGGUGAACUUUCACCGCUAGAUGAAUUUCCAUGGCUAGGUGCACUGCCACCGCUAGGUGAACCUCCACUCAUCGGUGAACCUCCACCAUCAGAUGAACUGCUCUUACCUUUCAAAUUACUUUUAAUCUUUGCUUUAACUUUAUCUAAGAUAGUGCUUUUACCCUUGGUUUUACCUCCAUUCUUGUGUGAACUUUCACCGCUAGAUGAAUGUCCAUGGCCAGGUGCACUACCACCGCUAGGUGAACCUCCACUCAUUGGUGAGCUUCCACCAUCGGAUGAACCGCUCUUACCUUUCAAUUUACUUUUAAUCUUUGAUUUAACUUUAUCUAAGAUAGUGCUUUUACCCUUGGGUUUACCUCCAUCCUUGGGUGACUUUGCACCGCUAGAUGAAUUUUCUUGACCAGGUGAACUGCCACCGUUAGGUGAACCUCCACUCAUCGGUGAGCUUCCACCACUAGAUGGACUACUAUUUCCUUUCAAUUUACUUUUAAUCUUGGAUUUAAUUUUAUCUACAAUAGUGCUUUUAUCCUUGUGUUUUCCUGUAUUUUUGGGUGAACUUGCACCGCUAGAUGAAUUUCUACCGCUUGGUGAACCUUCACUCAUUUGUGAGCUUCCACCACCGGAUGAACUAUUCUUACCUUUUAUUUUACCUUUAAUCUUUGAUUUAACCUUAUCUAUGAUACUUUUUUUACCCUUGUGUUUACUUACAUCCUUAGGUGAACUUGCACUGCUCGAUGAAUUUCUACUACCAGGUGAAUUUCCACCGCUUGGUGAACUUCCACCCCCAGAUGAACCACUCUUAUCUUUUAGUUUACUUUUAAUCUUGGAUUUUAAUUUAUCAAGAAUAGUACUUUUACCCUUGUGUUUACUUUCAUUUUUAGGUGUAUUUUCACCGCUAGGUGAACUUUCACUGCUAGCUGAACUUCUACCGCUUGGUGAACUUUCACUCAUUGGUGAGCUUUCACCAUCGGAUGAACCGCUCUUACCUUUCAAUUUACUUUUAAUCUUUGAUUUAACUUUAUCUAAGAUAGUGCUUUUACCCUUGAUUUUACCUCCAUUCUUGGGCGAACUUUCACCGCUAGAUGAAUUUCCAUGGCCAGGUGAACUGCCAUUGUUGGGUGAACCUCCACUCAUCGGUGAGCUUCCACCAUCGGAUGAACAGCUCUUACCUUUCAAUUUACUUUUAAUCUUUGAUUUAACUUUAUUUAAAAUAGUGCUUUUACUCUUGGGUUUACCUGCAUCCUUGGGUGAACUUGCACCGCUAGAUGAAUUUUCUUGGCCAGGUGAACUGCUACCGCUUGGUGAACCUCCACUCUUCGAUGAGCUUCCACCACUAGAUGGACUAUUAUUUCCUUUCAAUUUACUUUUAAUCUUGGACUUAAGUUUAUCUACAAUAGUGCUUUUGCCCUUGUGUUUAUUUUUAUUUUUGGGUGAACUCGCACCGCUCGAUAAAUUUCCACUGACAGGUGAACUUUCACCGCUUGGUGAACUUUCACUCAUUUGUGCGCUUCCGCCACUGGAUGAACUAUUUUUACCUUUUAGUUUACUUUUAAUCUUUGAUUUAACUUUAUCUAUAAUACUUUUUUUACCUUUGUGUUUACUUACGUCCUUAGAUGAACUUGCACUGCUCGAUAAAUUUCUACUACCAGGUAAAUCUCCACCGCUUGGUGAACUUCCACCACCAGAUAAACCACUCUUAUCUUUUAGUUUACUUUUAAUUUUGGAUUUUAAUUUAUCAAGAAUAGUGCUUUUACCCUUGUGUUUACUUUCAUUUUUGGGUGUACUUUCACCGCCAGGUGAACUUCCACUGCUAGCUGAACUUCUACCACUUGGUGAACUUUCACUAAUUGGUGAAGUUUGAGCUUCCACCAUCGGAUGAACCGCUCUUAUCUUUCAAUUUACUUUUAAUCUUUGAUUUAACUUUAUCUAAGAUAGUGCUUUUACCCUUGGGUUUACCUCCA
rnacentral:lncRNA from 1 species